rnacentral:rRNA from 1 species
GAGAGUUUGAUCCUGGCUCAGAAUCAACGCUGGCGGCGUGCCUCAGACAUGCAAGUCGAACGCGAAAGUUUCCUUCGGGAAACAAGUAGAGUGGCGCACGGGUGAGUAACACGUAGGUAAUCUACCUUCGGAUGGGGAAUAACAACCGGAAACGGUUGCUAAUACCGCAUAAUGCAGCGGCACCUAAUGGUGACAGUUGUUAAAGCGGGGGAUCGAAAGACCUCGCGUCUGAAGAGGAGCCUGCGGCGGAUUAGCUAGUUGGUAAGGUAACGGCUUACCAAGGCGACGAUCCGUAGCCGGCCUGAGAGGGCGGUCGGCCACACUGACACUGACAUACGGGUCAGACUCCUACGGGAGGCAGCAGUCGGGAAUUUUGGGCAAUGGGCGAAAGCCUGACCCAGCAACGCCGCGUGAAGGAUGAAAUCCCUCGGGAUGUAAACUUCGCAAGAACGGGAAGAAUAAGUAGGGGACAAUACCCCCUAUGAUGACGGUACCGUUUGUAAGCUCCGGCUAACUCCGUGCCAGCAGCCGCGGUAAUAC